rnacentral:tRNA from 1 species
GCGGGCGUAACUCAGUUGGUAGAGUGACAGCUUCCCAAGCUGUACGUCGCGAGUUCGAGUCUCGUCGCCCGCUCCA